rnacentral:rRNA from 1 species
CCUACGGGAGGCAGCAGUAGGGAAUAUUGGGCAAUGGACGAGAGUCUGACCCAGCCAUGCCGCGUGCAGGAAGAAGGCUUUUCUGAGUCGUAAACUGCUUUUGACAGGGAAGAAUAAGCACUACGUGUAGUGUGAUGACGGUACCUGCAGAAUAAGCACCGGCUAACUCCGUGCCAGCAGCCGCGGUAAUACGGAGGGUGCGAGCGUUGUCCGGAUUUAUUGGGUUUAAAGGGUGCGUAGGCGGCCUUUUAAGUCCGGGGUGAAAGCCCGUUGCUUAACAACGGAACUGCCCUGGAUACUGAGAGGCUUGAGUACAGACGAGGUUGGCGGAAUGGACCGAGUAGCGGUGAAAUGCAUAGAUACGGUCCAGAACCCCGAUUGCGAAGGCAGCUGACUAGGCUGUUACUGACGCUGAGGCACGACAGCGUGGGGAGCGAACAGGAUUAGAUACCCUGGUAGUCCACGCCGUAAACGAUGGAUACUCGCUGCGAGCUAAAGAUUGUUCGUGGCUUAGGGAAACCGAUAAGUAUCCCACCUGGGGAGUACGCCGGCAACGGUGAACUUAAGGAAUUGACGG